rnacentral:rRNA from 1 species
UGAGGAACAUGACCUUCGGCGGGGGAUAGCCGGCCCAACGGCCGGGUGAUACCGCGUACGACCACAUGGGGACAUCCCUGAGUGGUGAAAGCAGCAAUGCGCCGAUGGAGUGCCUCGCGGCCUAUCAGCUAGUUGGUGAGGUAACGGCUCACCAAGGCGACGGACGGGUANCUGGUCUGAGAGGAUGGCCAGUCACAUUGGGACUGAGACACGGCCCAGAUCCCGUAACGGGG